UUUGGUGAAAUUUUUAAUGAAACUCUAUCAAGUAACUUAUGUCAUUUAGGUGUUUGAUAAAAUGUUUGUGAGUGACCACAAUUCCUUUUUGUAUUACUAUAGUUCGGUCAGUUCAUUGGUUGUACUUCAUGAAUGUCAUUUAUGUGUAUGCUAGUUAUACUUGAGAGUUAAUUGAUGGAUUGUGUUUCGAUACUAGAGUAUUUGAAUGUGAGAGUACCAUGUUUGGGAACACAAUUAUCAAUAUGUGGUUCGCUAUGUCAAUAAAUGUAUCUGGUAGGUCUAAUCCUAUCCAGUGGUAUAUCUUUUUCCACCUACAUUGGUGACAAGGAUUAAUUUAACUCU
rnacentral:lncRNA from 1 species